UCUCACACUUUUUCCCAAACUAUCGCUGUCAAAAGCCGGAGCGUCCAACACAACUCUCUUGGUAAAAAUCAAGUUUUUCAUUGAAUUUUAAAGUUAUUUCGUGAACUUGGCCAUUUCUAUUAAAGAGAACAGCAACUGAGGGGGCAACUGAAGUAUUUGUUGCCCCUUUCUGAAUUUUCGCAAUGCUUAUUGCCACUUUCUACUAAGAUACUAUUGAAAGUCUUCAGGGAGAGUCCAAUGCAGAGAAUCAUCUAACAGUCUGGAUUCUUUAUACUUCAAGGUAACCCUUCAAACAUUUGAUGGGCAUUUUUAAGGCGUCCUAGCGUGAAUUGAAGCAGUUUACAAGCUGCUCAAAAUGAAGCAUUUUGUAAAAAGAAAACCAAUCCUAAUAUUUAGAUAAAUUUAAAUCUGAUGUAAAUUGAUGUGAAAUAAAUAUGAGGAAAGAAGUAUUGUAAGAGAUUUAUUUUAAAAUUAUU